UAGGGAAUCUUCCACAAUGGACGCAAGUCUGAUGGAGCAACGCCGCGUGAGUGAAGAAGGUUUUCGGAUCGUAAAGCUCUGUUGUUGGUGAAGAAGGAUAGAGGCAGUAACUGGUCUUUAUUUGACGGUAAUCAACCAGAAGUCACGGCUAACUACGUGCCAG
rnacentral:rRNA from 1 species